AGCAAUUAUUUUCUAUAAUGUAUAAUGUGUUUCAAAAGAAAUCUCUGAUUUUCCUUUACGCAGACUUUAAUCAACCUAACACAAACUAAUUACUAACUAAUAUAAUACACAAAGAGUGGGAGAAACAGCGGCUCAGUAGAGGCCCACAGCUUAGACCCUCUGCAGCCUUGAUCUGAUGCUGACUGACAAGUUUAUUUUUUAAACUGUAAACUUCCAUUUAUCUUGGCAACUUGAAUAAACUCAUUUAAGGGAUCCUUAUAAAAAAUGUUUGUUUAUGUGCUCUUGGUGAUGUAGGUUACAUCACAGAUUUUUUGACUAUAACAUUUUGCUAUGUAUUGAUAUACUAUAUAGCCUAUUUGAAAUUUGCAGAUCAGCUGGGUUCUUUUCCUCACAGCUCUGAUUUACUGAUCGACUGAACAGUUUCAGUUGUGCUGGGUUCAUAUCAAAGUUGACAGAUGAAAGCAUGUCUACACUCUACAUGGUUAAAGUGAGGUUUUCACCACUCUGUGCAGGAGACGCAGCCAUGUUUACUUGUGACAGAAGGAGAGAAAGAUGAGAAAUUAAAGAAUUAAAACCAGAAGAAGGCACAGAAGUCACAGCAAGCUCUGGGUGAGACGAUGUGACGUUAGUGUCCAGGCUGUGGCCUUCCAGUCGAUUAGACAGCCGGCUGUCUGAUUAAUAAUGAGAAUGGGCACAACUGCAGACAGACAAAGUCAUGCUAAAUGUGCUAAUGGCAUUCCUCUUCACUCCAAAGCUUCACGUUAAUCAUGAGAAUGAGCGCUGCUGCUGACAGCUGCAGACAUGGACUAAUGGUAUUCUCCUCCAGCCACCACAGUUUCACUUCAGACCUUCAGACUCAGCGUCUUUAAGUCUUCAAUGGAUAGAUUAUGAAACAAUGGGCCCUGGGCACAGAUACAGAAAAAACCCACCCCUCCUACAUAGCAGAAAGACCCUCAGACUGAAGGACAGAAAAUCAGCUAACAGAUAAAUCACAGCCUCAUCAUUUGUAGUUGUUUCACAGUCAUUUUGUGUCUCUUUGUGGUUGGUUUGUGUCUGUGUCGGUGACAUUUUGCAGGUGAAUCAGAAGUCUCAUGUUCUGCAAACUGCAGCUGAACUUCAGUAUUAUUUCCUAUUGAAGAUAAAGACAAGCUGUCCAGCCACAGCAGAUCCAUGAUGACUCUCCUCUGCACAGAUAUACCAUAUACUACAGCACACUAUACACAAUGUUAUAGGAAACCAUCAGAGAAAGCUGGAGGUUACAUUCCCUUAAAACAGUUGUUCUGCUGUCAAACCGAUUCUGAAAUCACUCCCUGUGCUAAAUAGUGCACUAUACUGUAUUUACUGUCUGACAUUUUAUUUGAAUGCCUUAAUUCUGAGCGUGUAAAUGUAUCCACUACAUACUGGCCUUAAAAAAUGUAACAAUGGAACAAAACAAAAAAAAGUUGUGUCCAUGGCAUGUACAUAAACAAAAUCAAAUAUUGGAUUGGAUUUGGUUGGUGGAUACUCAAUAUUAAAACACCCUGAUCAGGAUUAGGGGUAAAAAUGUAAUCAAGUCAUCUCUAAGAACACUGAAGUAACAACACUGAUAUUCUGUGAAACCUAUAAAGGUUAUGAUAUGCUACAAAAACUCAGUGAGCAUACUAAGGUGAGUAACAAAAAAUGAAAACCUCUCAAACCCAGAAGGAGGACUUACAGAACAUGAAAUAUAUGGUUUAUCUUCCCAAAAUGACUCCAGGGGUACUCACUGAUGCUGAGGUACAGAAAUGUAGUUUUGGGGUAGGAAACUCAGUAAAGGGGUACAUUGUUGGAAUAAUAUGGAGUAUAGCAACAUACUUAUAGGGGACUGGAUACAAUAAACAAUAAAGAACACAACAUACACUUUGUAGUUUCACUUCAAGAACAUUACUGCGCUGUGUAGAGAGAAUUACAAUAGGCUACACCCAUGCUACAGGGAUUCAUUAUUCUGUCUUCUACUUCACUGUAUGAUUUGGAGUCAUGAAGUCAAGAAACGUGUCUAUUCCAACUAAAACAAAACUAUAUGCUGUAACUCAUUGCUGAGUACUCCAUCAUCAUUUUAGGAACAUACCUAAACCAUAUAAUUUAUGUUCUUCAACGAUUCCUCCAUUUGAGUGUUGAGAGGUUUUCCUGAAGCCCCUUUUCAUUACCUUACUGUACCCCUGAAGUUUCAGUAGCAUACCAAUCUGUGAAAUACAUUAUACCAUCAUUGCUUUAUAGAUUUUGCAAAGCAUAUCAGUGUUGUUAACUCACAGGUAUCCAGAACUUACAAAAAUCCUUCCUCUAAAAUCCUCUAAAAUGUCCAGUUCUUAUUCCCUUGUUCCCCAUAUCCUUGUUUUCUUUUCCACUGUACCAACAUUUAAGAACUGGUAAGUAUUUUAUUGGCGCUUGAUUCAUACAUAAAUCACAGGAUGUAUUAUAAAGUGUUACUCAUGAGGUCACAAUAUCCAGCCUGACUGAAAUGAGAUGCAUGUUCAUGUGCGGAGGUGGUAGAGAUGGCAGCAAUUUUAUUUAAAUUCUAUUCUUUGAAGUCUCUAGAAGUUGACACAAAGAAUUAGUAUUUUGUGUUUUCUCCCUCUCACACGCAUCCAUAUGGCCCCACUCACACUCUCUCUCUCUCUCUCUCACACACACACACACACACACACACACACGCAUACAUGUAACCGUUCCUGCAAAGUGUGUCAUGUUUGCUUGUAGAUAAGCAAAAAGACACACACACGCAAACACACCCACACCCCAUUCCACUUGAGAGCACAUAUAGAGCAUGAGAGAAAAAUUGUACAGUAAUUUUACACAAUAAGAGUCCAGCACAUGUCCUCCCACUCCACAGCCUGUGGGCAAACCAGUUGUUCAGGGCUUCCAUUAGCUCAUCCGUCCACAGAAAACAUGUGUCCCCUCUGCUCAAGAGUCCUUUGUUGUGAAGAAAGCCAAGCUGUUUUAUUUUUUCUUUUUUUCUCCUCCUGUCCAUCCAUCCAUUCUGCUCCGUCCCAAAACAGCAACGCUGACAGCAUGAAGACCAGCCUCGCAGGAGAAUUUUUCAGCAUUGAAUUCAAAAGAUUGUCAUCGUAAUGCUGGAAUGUCUUACUACAAUCUACGCUUAGAUAAUGAAUUGUCCAAAAUAACCAUCCUUGUCUGGUGAUGGAGCAGGCUGAGAAAAGUCAAGAUUUUGUAGUUGAAGAAUCCUGGUUCCAUCUCCAAUACUACAAUCUCAGUCAGUGAGGACCUCGACCAAAGAAGAUGUAGUUGACAAAGGCAUACUCCAGUAAAGCCAGGAAGACAAAGACAAAGCAACCCAUCAGAUUAAACUUUGGGCAGAGCCAGGCUAGCUGUUUCCCCCUGCUUCCAGUUCUAAGCUACAAUAACCACAACCUGUGUCCAACUCCAGACUUAACACACACAUCCACAUACAUCCUUGUCACUGUCAAAAAGAAAGUGAGUGUAUUUCCUAAAAUGUGACUAAAAGGCACAGACCUUUCCAGUCACCUCUCCAUCAGUUCCGCUAAGUUUGUUUUUAAACUUUUUUGUUAUUAAACUUUUGUAAAUAAUAUUGGACAAUAUUGAACAAUGAUAAUAUAUGACUACGAGUCAUUCAUCAGCAUAGGGAAAUGGUCAAUUCACCACUUUGGAAACUCUCAUCCAGGCAACUCUGCUACUUGGCCAGACAAGGUUUUCAAAUGUAAACAUUAAACACUGUAAAUACUGAGGAAAAUGUGGAGAGGAUAAACACCAGCUAUGAUCCUGACCACAUAGACAAGCAAAACCAUCCCUGCAUUCAUCUCAACAUCAGAGGAGACACCAGGAAAAACAUGGAGGCAUUAAACACUGGCUGUGUUCACAGCCUAAGAUCUUCUCUGCCAAGCAUACUGCUAGCCAAUGUACAGGCGUUGGAUAAUAAACUGGACAAUCUCCGCACCCACAUCAGUUUCCAAAUGUCCAUUCAACCAGGUUACUAUUUUUCUGUAUAUCAAUCCAACAAGACAGAGGACUUUGGAAAGAAAAAGGAGUGGACAUGUGCUUUAUGAUGAAUAAGGAUUGGUGUGCCAGUGGGAAUAUUAAAGUUCUAUCCCAUUCCUGCUCACCUGAUCUGGAGUUAUUGUCAAUCAAAUGCAGACUGCACUUUCUACCAAGGGAAUCUACAUCAGUCAUUAUCACAGUGAUCUACAGGAAAUGAUCAAUCAGAGGCUGCCCUACAGUCUGCACUACAUGAAGCAGUCCGGAACAAGUUCUAGGACAUCACCUUCGACGUCAAGGAUGACAUAAAUAGAUUCACUGAGUUUGUGGUGGAUUUAAUUUGUGAAACAGAAGCAACUGUACUCAAAAGUACAGUAAAGGAGAAAAAAGGGACCACGGGAAGAAAAUGUAACUACGAUUCCAAGAGGGCAACUCCAGAAGCAUGUGGCAAGGUCUAACAACUAUGCCAGAUUACAAGCCCCCCUCCUUGUCAAGUGCUGAUGUGUCUCUAGCAAGUGAGCUUAACAACUUUUAUGCUCGCUUUGAUGUCAUCUGCAACUAGCAAGCAAAAGCAAGGUUAAUGGAUGGGUGGGAACACCUUUCACACCUAUCACCUAUUCUGAGCAUGACGUCAGGAGGGCUUUCAAGCAUGUGAAAACCAAGAAAGGACCAGACGAUAUCAGUGAGCAGGUCUUCAAAAUAUGUGCUGACCAAAAAGUGCCAGUGUUCAUAAUGAUAUUCAACCUGUCCCUGGCUCAGUCCGUAAUACCCACGUGCUUCAAGAAGUCCACCAUCAUUCCUGUGCCAAGAAAACAAGACCAGCCUGCCUGAAUGACUACCGCCCAGUAGCACUCACUCUCUGUAGUGAUGAAGCAGCUGGUCAAGAAUUACAUCUGCUCCUCACUACCCAGCACUAUCGACCCACUACACUUUGUCUAUCAUCCCAAACAAUCAAUGGAAAACACCACAGCACACAUCCUCCACACCACCCUAUCUCACCUAGACAAGAAAGGGAACUAUGUGAGAUUGCUGUUCAUUGACUACAGUUUAGCCUUUAACACCAUAGUUCCCUCCAGGCUUACCACAAAGCUCCACUGUGCAUGUAGAUCCUUGACUUCCUGAUGGCCAGACCCCAGGCGCUGAGGCUAGGCGGACACCCCUCUUCUACCCUCACCCUUAGCAAUGGAGCACCCCUGGGCUGUGUUUUGAGCCACCUGCUGUACUCCCUGUACACACACAAUUGUGUAGCCAUUUUUUGUUGGACUUGACGACACAGCUGUGUUGGGCCUGAUCACAGUAAACAAUGAAAGAAGUAGAGGACCUUACCCACUGGUGUGAGGACAAUAACCUACUCCUUAACAUCAGCAAAACUAAGGAGCUGAUAGUGGACUUUGGGAAGAAGCAGGGAAAAACAACAUCCCCCUUAAUAUCAAUGGAUCCUCGGUGGAGAGGGUAGACAGCUUCAAGUACCUUGGUGUCCACAUCACCGAGGGCCUGACCUGGAGGUUGCAUACUGACUCAGUGGUGAGAAAGGCAAGGCAGAGAGUGUCUCACCUCAGAUACUUGAGGAAAUUCCGGGUAUCCUCUCAAAUACAGAGAGGAUACGCAAUACUGAGGAAUUUCUACUCCUGCACCACUGGGAUGGGGGACAUCAUUGCUUGGUGCAGAAACAAUACUGAGCAGGACUGCAAGGCCCUGAAAAGAGUGGUUCAUUCUGCUGAACAUACAAUAGGCCAUGCUCUACCUUUCAUAAGGAUAUUUACUCCAGGUGCUGCAAGAAAAAGGCUAGGAGAAUCAUUAAGGAUCCCAACCUCCCUGCUGCCAUUGGGAGGAAGAUACCAGAUACACCAGGCCAGCACCGAGAGGCUCAGAAAGAGCUUCUACCCUCAGGCCACUAGGAUCCUAAAUGAGGUCACUGCCCCCACAGCACCUCCAUCAUAUAUUUUUUUAAAGUAUUCCUAAUCAUUACUUACUUAAUCUAUUUUUAUUGCACAGUUUGAAGGAACUGAUGUGGAUUGCAUUUCACUGUGAUUGUGCCUGAACGAUUGCAUACAAAAACUUCAUUGAUUGGUCGAUGCCCAUUUAAUGUCAUAGUUAAAGCUUGAUCAGGGGUUUGUUUCUAUACUUUGAAAACCCGCCACACAGGAAAAACCUGAAUACACAGUCUCCACCUUUUUGACAUGUGAAACAAAAUGUGGCUCUGUACAAAUAUGCACAUGGCAGAAGCUUUUGAUGGGAGCUUUUAAAGUAAUACUCAGUAUUCAGGUGCAGCUUGAGAAGGAGAAUGCAAUCAGUGACACAGAUGCUGUCUGUCCAAUGUAAAUGUGGUGCUCAAAUCAUAAAUCAUGAGGUCCACAGAUAAUUCUAGUCCAGUGUGACUAUAGCACAAGACACUGAAAAUAAGCUGUUUUAUAAUUUUAGUUUAAAUUUAUCACAAGGAAAAACUGGCAUUGAUUCCAGUAGUAUUUGCGUGAUGUCUCAGUUCAGAUUUAUGACUCUGAAUGGGUGCAAGUUUGAGGUAAACUGCGUCAAUAAGGUGGCUUGUCAAUGGGGCAAAAUACAAAAGAAUAUAACUGAUAAUUCCAUGGAGAAUAAACAUUUCCAAGCGUUCUUUAAGCACAAAUAGCCAUACAUUGACAAAUAAUGAAACUUCAUCAAGGAAAAAAAACACAAAUACAGACAAGAUUUCAUGA